UACAGAGGGUGCAAGCGUUAAUCGGAAUUACUGGGCGUAAAGCGCGCGUAGGUGGUUUGUUAAGUUGGAUGUGAAAUCCCCGGGCUCAACCUGGGAACUGCAUUCAAAAACUGACAAGCUAGAGUAUGGUAGAGGGUGGUGGAAUUUCCUGUGUAGCGGUGAAAUGCGUAGAUAUAGGAAGGAACACCAGUGGCGAAGGCGACCACCUGGACUGAUACUGACACUGAGGUGCGAAAGCGUGGGGAGCAAACAGGA
rnacentral:rRNA from 1 species